ACAUUAAGGUAUGGCUGCGGAAGAAGACCGUUGUAGGUAGAGCGUGCUGCGGCCCGCAGUGUAACAGCAGAAGCAGAAUCAGUCGGAGGUUGAAGCUGAAAGAUGCUGCUUCUCAGCCGCGCGCUCACCUGACGCUCGCGUUUCCUGGACGCUUCUUCCUUCACGUCGUGUACGAGGACAUGCGACAGAUGUCCUGAUGCUGCAACUGAAAGAGGAGGUACUUUCUUCUUCCAGAGACUUUGUCCCUAAGGACAGUUUAGCCAAAGUUUCCUAUGGAGAAUUUAAAGCCACCGAAGCGAUCAGGAAGCCGACUCACGAUUUGUAACACCACCAAGCCGUCGCUGCACUGAGAAGCAGGAGAACGAUGCUGAGACUGACGAGGCUGAUGUGAGCAGCUGAAAAAGAGACACUUUUAUCCUAAAAACAUCUAAAUGUGUGAUAGAAUAAAAUUUGAAUUAUAAAUGA